rnacentral:rRNA from 1 species
UGGGGAAUAUUGGACAAUGGGGGGAACCCUGAUCCAGCCAUGCCGCGUGUGUGAAGAAGGCCUUAUGGUUGUAAAGCACUUUAAGCGAGGAGGAGGGUACUGGUAUUAAUACUACCAGCUACUGGACGUUACUCGCAGAAUAAGCACCGGCUAACUCUGUGCCAGCAGCCGCGGUAAUACAGAGGGUGCGAGCGUUAAUCGGAUUUACUGGGCGUAAAGCGUGCGUAGGCGGCUGAUUAAGUCGGAUGUGAAAUCCCUGAGCUUAACUUAGGAAUUGCAUUCGAUACUGGUCAGCUAGAGUAUGGGAGAGGAUGGUAGAAUUCCAGGUGUAGCGGUGAAAUGCGUAGAGAUCUGGAGGAAUACCGAUGGCGAAGGCAGCCAUCUGGCCUAAUACUGACGCUGAGGUACGAAAGCAUGGGGAGCAAACAGG